UAUUCAUAAUUUCAGGAUUUGUUUGUAAAUUCUAGGGGAGACAUAUCACAUAACCUUGAACGUUCGCUAACAGAACGCUCAUAACCUGGGGAUUAUCUGUAUUUAUUUUUGCAGAAAUUGUAAAAAAAAAUUUUUUUUUUAAUGUUCAUUGCAUUUUUAUAAUGGUGGAUGAUAAAUAUGCCACAUACAGAGUCCCUGCCUUUUUCUCCCUGGGUACCCCAAGAGUUUCAGGCCCAGAAUUCCCCAACCAGCAUCUCUUGGGAUAGGACCACUAAGGCUAUAGUUGCAGAUUGGGGCUCCUCAUAUAAGGAGAAAAUGAGAGGAGAAGAGAAGCAGAAGCGUUUCAAAGUUCAUCUUUUCCAAACAGUUCCAGGAAUUCAGAAAACCAAGCAUGUCUGUUCAUAUUGUGUCAAGACUGAGGCACGCAAGUGGAAGAAACUAUAUGAAUAGCAAAUAUAUUGGAAGAGUUUGAGGCAGUGACAAAACCAGCAUAACAUUUUAGAUGUAAAGGCUGUCCUGCCCUGCAGGUGGCCUUCAUGGAGAAGAGCUACAGGAAUAUUGAGUUGAGGAGAAAAGGGAUUAUGGUUUUGAGUACAGGAUUUCCAGGUUUAUUUGCAACUCCUGCUGUGAUCUCCUUUGCUUGGAGUUGCCUCCUUAUUAGCCUUUGAGAGCUGGGGCCUGAAAGCAUCAUCAAUAUACUGAUAACUGUGUGGUUUCCACACACAUACACACCCCGGUGUGGAGAUGUGAGGGAAAUUAUUGUAUAAUAGAUAAUGUUUAGUUCCUAAAACAGCAUUGCGUAAGAAUCUUGAAUAGCUUUUGAGAAAGACAAAUAAAGGAAAGUGUCAGGAUUUCUGUAAGCAGAACAUGUUUCCUGUGCUUUCACUUGUCCCUCAGGGCUCCUUAAUAUUUUUUUCAAAAAUUUAUUCUUCAAAUAUAGGGAGGAAUGGGGUGGGCAGAGCUGGAGUCACAGCAGAAAGAUGGGGAUUCGGGAACUCCCAAAAGAACCGUUGAUAUCCCUGCUACUGGACAGUCCUUUUGGACCUAGACCAUCCCAGAGAGACGGUGACAGAAGAGGGCACAUCCUAUCAAUCCCAAGGACAUUGCAAAGUCCCUGGUUAAUCCAGGAAAAACUCCCCGAACCGGCGGCUGAGGAAAGCCAUUAUAAAGCUGUUGGAAAGCUGGGACAGCUCUGGAAUGAAAGGGAAAGCAGAAGGAAAGUAUGUCCGAAUUGGGUGAGAUUUUUUGAGAAUUUUUUGCUAAAGAUUAAAGAGCACCCUAAGGGAAUAAGAAAUUUUAAGAUUGAAGACAGAAGAGAAUGCAGCGGGAAAGCAUGUUUAUAACUGUCAGAUUCAAGUAGGGCUAUUUUAUAACGUGUUUUAACAGAAAGAUCAUUUUUUUCUCUUUAACUGGACUGGACUAAUAAUUUGGAAAAGACAAAACCCUAAUUUUAAUUUUAAAUCCUGGACUAUUUUUUCCUUUUUAGUUUGCCUAUUUAGUAACUGUAACUUUAAAAGUGAAUCUUUUUCUUUUUUCUUUUUCUUUUUAAUUUCCGCUGGAUACAAUAUAACAAAGGAAUGAAAGCAAAGCAAGGCAAUAGUACCACCUAGAGGCUAUAGAAUCUUUUUUAAUAAAUCUAAGAAUUGUUUUUCUGGACAGUACGCUGACUCAAAAGGAAGAUAAAAAGCAAAGCGCUGAAGGAUUGUUGAAACAGGUGUUGUGCUGACAAUCUAAACAGAUGGGGAUAGAAGAGAAAGACUACUAUGACCUUGGAUAUAUUAUGAUUUGGUUUUCUGGACACAAUA